rnacentral:rRNA from 1 species
UACAGAGGGGGCAAGCGUUAUUCGGAAUUAUUGGGCGUAAAGGGCGCGUAGGCGGACCUGCAAGUCGGGGGUGAAAGCCCGAGGCUCAACCUCGGAACUGCCUUCGAUACUGCGGGUCUCGAGUCCGGGAGAGGUGAGUGGAAUUCCUAGUGUAGAGGUGAAAUGCGCAGAUAUCAGGAGGAACACCGGUGGCGAAGGCGGGUCUCUGGGCCGAUACUGACGCUGAGGAGCGAAAGCGUGGGGAGCGAACAGG